GGAGAGCAGAGAUGGCAUUCAGACACUAAUCAUGGUCUUAGGAAUAGGGUGACAGAGCUGGUCCUUACGCCGUUGGAAGGUGGUCUUGGCUGAUCAGGAGAUGGUCUCUGGUAGCUGGGAAAUUAUCUCAGGUGACUGGGAGCUGGUAUUGGAUGACCAGGAGAUGGUCUUGUUUGACCAGGAGGUGGUUUUGGGUGGCCAAGAGGGGCCAUCCUGCCUGUGGUGCAGCUCUACCUGGUCUGUGCCCAUGUGGCCUUGCUGCAGGACCUGCCAUAGGGACCUGGGAACACGGGGAUGGGGCCGCACAGGGUCCCUGGGGGAUGAUGUCACAUGUGCCCUGGCCCUGGGGAUCCCUGUGGGGGGACAUCACAUAUGUCCUCACCCUGGGGUGUGGGAUGCGGUAGCCUCCUUCCAAGAUGGGGACACUGAGCACCCAUGGUUGGUGGGAGUCAAGACCAGGGUCCAGCGUGGCUGAAGGGAAGUGGCUGUGUCCCCAUGCCAGCCCCUCACCGUGCUAGGCCCCACUCAACCCUCCUCUCGCCCCACAGGCUCGACAGCAGCUGCCUCACCAGGAUGAACGGGAUGGCCAACGUCAACCCUGCCGGCCGCAGCCACUACACCUCUGCCAUCCCAGUGCCCCGUGCCGUGGCCCAUGGCAAACCACAUGCUCCAGCCACCCCGAGCACCCCAGAGCCCCCUGGGGCUCCAUCCCCCCGACCAGGGAAGCUGCUGGCCCCUGGCCCCAAGACCCUCAAGCCCAAAAGCGCUGGCAGAGCCGCCGGCCGUGAGCCGGCCAUAAGCAGGGAGGGCAGCCCCAGCAUGCACCCCCGCGGGGGGCAGAAAGCCCCAGUGAAACCCCUGGUGUCCCCUGGGAAGUGGCCAGAGGCAGCAGGCAGUGGAAGGAGAGGGGCAAGCAGGGUGGGGGAGCCCACUGAGCUGCCCAAAGCCCCCCCAGCGCAGGGCAGGGGUGGGGGGCGACCAGGGGGGUCCACCGGGAGGAGCAGCGGGAUGGCUACAGCUGGGACAGGGGAUGAGGCUCAUGGUGGCUCUCAGGGCAGGGGUCCCGUGUUCGGGUCAGGGGCCAUCACCUUCUCCUCAGGCCCCCCCCACAGCCACCCAGUCACCGCCACCGUGGCACCCUUCCAGUACCGGCUCCAGGAGGAAGCGGAGGAGGAGAGGGCCACAUCCCCGGGUGGCGAGUGCCCCGGUCCUGCAGAGCGACCCGACCCCAAAGCCGGAGGAGGCCUGAGUGAGUCUGGGGGGGUUUGCCAGGGAUGAGGGGGUCCUGCCGGGGGGCUGCCAGGAUGGUGCGGGGGAGCGGAGGCUCAUGCUGGAGUGACUUGACCCACG
rnacentral:lncRNA from 1 species